rnacentral:tRNA from 1 species
GCCAUGGUGGUCUAGCGGUCAGAACACUAGCCUUGUAAGCCUGGGGUCCCGGGUUCAAUACCCGGUGGUG